rnacentral:rRNA from 1 species
AUGGCGCCGCCGCAGCAAUGUGCAGAUCGCCGGCCUCCUCCUCUUGGCCUCCGUGGGCUUUCUAGGGUUGCUUUCCAGCCGAGAUCGCCGCCGCCCGGAGGUCUUCCUCCUCUUGGUCUCACCGGACGCUCUGGUGCUCCUUCCUUCUCCAUCGGCACGGCAGGUUUCGAGCGUCUUCCUCCUCCUACAACUUUGCCUCGACGGCGCGUCGGCCUCACACGCCCAUCUCGCGCUCCGGCACCUAAUGAGGCCGGUUCCUCGAACUGGAGUGCCUCCGUCGGCGAGGCCGGUACAGGCAGCGGAGGGUUCGUGGGGUUUCACCUCAUCAAUGGCAGCGGCGGGAUCUCGUUUGGCGGUGGCGGUGGCGGUGGCAGCGGGAUAUCGUUUGGCGGCGGCGGCAGCGGGAAAUUAGACGAAUAA